UAUGUGAUCGUCUCUCGCAUAUCAAUAAGCGGAGGAAAAGAAACUAACAAGGAUUCCCCUAGUAACGGCGAGUGAAGCGGGAAGAGCUCAAAUUUGAAAUCUUAAAGGGUUUCCCUUUACGAAUUGUAGUUUAAAGAAGUGUUUUCUGUUGAGGUUUUGGUAAAAGUUCUUUGGAAUAGGACAUCAUAGAGGGUGAGAAUCCCGUAUUUGACCUUUACUUUCAACUUUGUGAUACACUUUCAAAGAGUCGGAUUGUUUGGGAAUGCAGUCCAAAAUGGGUGGUAAAUUUCAUCUAAAGCUAAAUAUUGGCGAGAGACCGAUAGCGAACAAGUACCGUGAGGGAAAGAUGAAAAGAACUUUGAAAAGAGAGUUAAACAGUACGUGAAAUUGUCAAAAGGGAAGCGUUUGACACCAGUGUUGUUUUUCUGAAAAUCAAUUAAAGAACUGUUUAUGCUAAGUUGUUUAGACUUUAUCAGGCUAUCUGUUUAGUUUUGAGCUUUUCUUUAAUGCACUUUUCAGUUAACAAGUCAACAUCAAUUUCUUUUGCUGUAAAAAAGCUUGAGGAAGGUGGCUUGAGAUUCGUCUUAAGUGUUUAUAGCCUCUUGCCUAUGCAGUCGGAGAGAUUGAGGUCUGCAGCGUAGAUCCUUCGGGGCUAAAUGCAUUUGUGCUAAGUUAUAGCAUUUUAUAGACAACUUGUUGACUAUGAUUUGUCUUGUAGCUUACUCGCUUAUGUUAUUUUACCUACGCUUAGGAUGUUGAUAUGCAUGACUGAUAU
rnacentral:rRNA from 1 species